rfam:Pediculus humanus corporis strain TSDA 1103172096793, whole genome shotgun sequence.
GUCAGGAUGGCCGAGCGGUCUAAGGCGCCAGACUCAAGGUCGACCUUAUCCGAUGUCGUCGGAUUCCGAGCGUUCUGGUCCUCACUGAGGGCGUGGGUUCGAAUCCCACUUCUGACA